UACGUAGGGACCGAGCGUUGUCCGGAAUCAUUGGGCGUAAAGAGCGUGUAGGCGGCCACUUAAGUCCUGCGUGAAAUCCUGCGGCUCAACCGCAGGCGGUCGUGGGAAACUGGGUGGCUAGAGUGCGGGAGAGGAGAGUGGAAUUCCUGGUGUAGCGGUGAAAUGCGCAGAUAUCAGGAAGAACACCCGUGGCUAAGGCGGCUCUCUAGUAUGGUACUGACGCUGAGACGCGAAAGCGUGGGGAGCGAACAGG
rnacentral:rRNA from 1 species